rnacentral:ncRNA from 1 species
UAUAUUUGCACCGCCUAAUAAUAGGCAUACAUAACAAUCAUUAAAUAAUAUUAGCAUG